rnacentral:rRNA from 1 species
AUUGAACGCUGGCGGCAGGCCUAACACAUGCAAGUCGAGCGGAUGAAGGGAGCUUGCUCCUGGAUUCAGCGGCGGACGGGUGAGUAAUGCCUAGGAAUCUGCCUGGUAGUGGGGGAUAACGUCCGGAAACGGGCGCUAAUACCGCAUACGUCCUGAGGGAGAAAGUGGGGGAUCUUCGGACCUCACGCUAUCAGAUGAGCCUAGGUCGGAUUAGCUAGUUGGUGGGGUAAAGGCCUACCAAGGCGACGAUCCGUAACUGGUCUGAGAGGAUGAUCAGUCACACUGGAACUGAGACACGGUCCAGACUCCUACGGGAGGCAGCAGUUGGGAAUAUUUGGCAAUGGGCGAAAGCCUGAUCCAGCCAUGCCGCGUGUGUGAAGAAGGUCUUCGGAUUGUAAAGCACUUUAAGUUGGGAGGAAGGGCAGUAAGUUAAUACCUUGCUGUUCUGACGUUACCAACAGAAUAAGCACCGGCUAACUUCGUG